UACAGAGGUCCCGAGCGUUGUUCGGAUUCAUUGGGCGUAAAGGGUGCGUAGGUGGGUUUGUAAGUCAGUGGUGAAAUCUCCAAGCUUAACUUGGAACUGCCGUUGAUACUAUAAAUCUUGAAUGUUGUGGAGGUGAGCGGAAUAUGUCAUGUAGCGGUGAAAUGCUUAGAUAUGACAUAGAACACCAAUUGCGAAGGCAGCUCACUACACAAAGAUUGACACUGAGGCACGAAAGCGUGGGGAUCAAACAGG
rnacentral:rRNA from 1 species